AAGAGGGAACGGAUCAGGACGAUUUCCUACUGCUACUGGGCCUCAAAUCAAGUCAUUUUGCAUCCCUGAAUUUUCUUUUUCUUUUUCUUCUUCAGCAAGGUCAACGGAUCGUCUGUCCAUAUCCGGGUCGAUAACUGCAUUCCUUAAUCGCCACAAAUUGAUGCCACUAUUUUAGGACAAAGCUUGCCGCCUUAGCAUCAAAGCUGCAAGGCAAUGGCUACCAUACCAACGUCCCCACACAAGAAGAAAGCUUCUGCACUAGCAGCUCAACAAGAACCAAUCACUGCUCCCUAUGGUUCUUGGAAGUCUCCUCUCACAGCCGAUGUUGUCUCCGGUGCCUCCAAGGAGCUCGGCGGCAUCGCCAUCGACGGUCACGGCAGCCUCAUUUGGCUGGAGUCGCGCCCCACUGAGUCCGGAAGGGGAGUGCUUGUGCGAGAGCCAGAAAAGCCAGGAGAUGAGCCCUUGGAUAUCACGCCUCAAGAGUUCGGAGUACGAACAGUGGCUCAGGAGUAUGGUGGUGGGGACUUCACCGUUUCGGGUGAUAUUGUUAUUUUCGCAAAUUACACGAAUCAGAGGCUGUACAGGCAAUCCAUAACUUCUCUAGAUGUCCCUCCCAUCCCUCUCACUCCUGAUUAUGGGGGACCUGUAGUCAGCUAUGCCGAUGGAGUAUUGGAUGCACGCUUUAACCGUUUUGUCUGUGUACGAGAAGAUCGUCGGGACAGCAGCAUAAAUGCAACCACAACAAUUGUAUCAAUAGCUCUCAGCAGCAAGGAUGUUCAAGAACCAGAAGUAUUAGUUAGCGGAAGUGACUUCUAUGCUUUCCCACGUCUUGAUCCAAAAACAAAUCGAAUGGCAUGGAUUCAGUGGAAUCACCCUAGCAUGCCAUGGGAUAGAUCAGAACUCUGGGUUGGUUAUGCAUCUGAAAAUGGAGAGAUCCACAAGAGCACCUGCAUUGCUGGUGGUGAUCCUUCAUUAGUGGAGUCUAUAACUGAACCCAAGUGGUCCCCUGAUGGGGAGCUCUUUUUUAUUACUGAUAGGGAAAAUGGCUUUUGGAAUCUUCAUAAAUGGAUUGAGUCUGAGAAUAAGGUCAUGCCUGUUUAUUCUUUGGAUGCUGAGUUUACAAGGCCAUUAUGGGUUUUUGGUAUGAAUUCUUAUGAAUUUAUUCAGAGUGAUAAAAAGAAAAGCUUGAUUGCUUGCAGUUACAGGCAAAAAGGGAGGUCAUAUCUUGGAAUUAUUGAUUAUGUGGGAAGCUCAACAAUCACUGUGCUUGAUAUCCCUUUCACAGAUCUAGAUGACAUUACUUCUGGGAAAAAUAGCCUAUAUGUAGAAGGAGCUUCUGCGAUUCAUCCAUUAGCAGUGGCCAAGGUGACUUUGGAUGAUCAGAAGUCAAAAGUUGUUGAGUUUGAUAUUAUUUGGUCCUCCUCAUCGGAUAUUUUGAAGUACAGUCCAUACUUCAGUGAGCCAGAGCUAAUUGAAUUCCCCACUGAAGUUCCUGGCGAAAAUGCCUAUGCUUACUUUUAUCCGCCAUCUAAUCCUACUUAUCAAGCCAGUCAAGAGGAAAAGCCUCCUUUGUUGUUGAAUAGCCAUGGAGGACCAACAUCUGAAACACGUGGAGUUUUAAAUCUUAGCAUUCAGUACUUGACCAGUCGAGGUUGGGCAUAUGCAGAUGUUAAUUAUGGUGGAAGCACUGGUUAUGGGAGAGAGUAUCGAGAAAGACUUUUAGGACAAUGGGGCAUCGUGGAUGUUGAUGACUGUUGUAGCUGCGCCAAGUAUUUGGUGGACAGUGGAAAGGUUGAUGGAGAACGACUGUGUAUUACUGGGGGCUCUGCUGGUGGGUAUACCACCUUAGCUACUCUUGCUUUUAAAGAAACAUUUAAGGCUGGGUCUUCUUUGUAUGGUAUAGCUGAUCUGAACUUGUUGAGAGCAGAGACUCAUAAAUUUGAAUCCCAUUACAUUGAUAAUCUUGUUGGAGGUGAUAAGGAAUGCUUUGAAAGAUCCCCAAUCAACCAUGUCGAUAAAUUUUCUUGUCCCAUAAUUUUGUUUCAAGGUUUGGAGGAUAAGGUGAGCAAGGAUGCAAUAAUUAUCAAUGUCCAAAGAUUAAGGUUGUGCCUCCUGAUCAAGCUCGAAAAAUUUACCAGGCAGUGAAGGAAAAGGGUGUGCCUGUAGCCAUUGUUGAGUAUGAAGGAGAGCAACAUGGUUUCCGAAAGGCUGAAAACAUUGAGUUUACGCUUGAACAACAAAUGGUGUUCUUUGCACGAUUGAUUGGACAUUUCAAAGUCGCCGAUGAUAUUACACCCAUUAAAAUUGAUAACUUCGACUGAGAAUAGGUUUUGGAAAGGUGAUGAUGCAUGCUGGCUUUCGUGAUGACAUGUUCGCAGAAACAAGUCAUGUAGUGGAAUUUAUUGAGUACUUGAUGAAUUUCAGGUCAGAAAAUUGAAUAAGAGACAUCAUAAUACUCUGCAGAACGUCUACUGUAUACAUCAUUGUUUGUUGCUAUGAGGAUGAGAAUAUUCUGUUGCAUUGUCUCAAAUCUUGCAUGGUAUUUUAUAUAAUGUUGUAAUCGCUUUCACUUGAUCCUUGUUCCUACAAUUACAUAUACUUUUUUCUUAACCCAUAUAUUGAUUGGAAAUAUGGCAUUUGUAAUCAGUAUUUCAUUAUAUCUGCAUGGUAAAUGGUUGAAGAAA